GACGAACGCUGGCGGCGUGCUUAACACAUGCAAGUCGAACGGAAAGGCCCUGCUUGCAGGGUACUCGAGUGGCGAACGGGUGAGUAACACGUGGGUGAUCUGCCCUGCACUUCGGGAUAAGCUUGGGAAACUGGGUCUAAUACCGGAUAGGAGCCAUCUUUAGUGUGGUGGUUGGAAAGUUUUUUCGGUGUAGGAUGAGCUCGCGGCCUAUCAGCUUGUUGGUGGGGUAAUGGCCUACCAAGGCGGCGACGGGUAGCCGGCCUGAGAGGGUGUACGGCCACAUUGGGACUGAGAUACGGCCCAGACUCCUACGGGAGGCAGCAGUGGGGAAUAUUGCACAAUGGGCGCAAGCCUGAUGCAGCGACGCCGCGUGGGGGAUGAAGGCCUUCGGGUUGUAAACUCCUUUCGCUAGGGACGAAGCUUUGUUGUGACGGUCCCUAGAUAAGAAGCACCGGCUAACUACGUG
rnacentral:rRNA from 1 species